UCAACGUAGGAUGCUUUUCAUACAUUGGAGAAGCAGUUUUGCCGCUGAUUGAUUCAAUGCAGCCUGCAACAAUCUUGGUGCUACCAUUGCAAUGUUUGGAUAUGCUUAAUUUCCCUGUGCACACUGAUGAACUCUGGCAGCCCAGUUGCAAGACGCCCUUGCUGGCCGAGAAGGAUCGCAGAUCAGCACAUGCCUCCUCCAAUGUGUGAAGUUAUCAGCUGCAUCUUUACACCGACCAGUGGCUUAAUACAGAAAGUCUCAGCAUGUACAGAGGACUAAUGGUGGCACCUAAGCAAGGCAAUAUGAGAUGCUGAUGCAGCAGGGUCACGACUGUGGGUGUGGUGGCUUGCCUGGAAUUACUGGGCACAAUGUAGUAACACAUCCCAGACAGGACAUCAAUCCUUUGCAGGGACUCGGUCACCCCAUGUCCACAUGUCCAAUCAUGUCUGCAUAUAUACGCCCACCAGGCCGUUAGCACAGCUGAGGAUUUAAUCCCACUAGCACCCAAGCACCCUAGAUCUAAUAUGUUUAAUUUAAUACUGUUUAGUGACUACAGUGUGCUAUCUAUUUUUUAUGUAUGUCAAAUAAGGACAGAACAGAAGCACAAACAUUAAUGAAAGCUAAACUUACAGGCUGUGGUGGUGGGGGAGGAGGUGGCUCCUU